UUUGAUUCAUCAAGAAGAUUUAAAGCAUGACUCCUACCAUUUUAACAUGAUAACAAUGCAAUAAUUAUCCACUUCCGCUUAAACUUUUAUCCUUCCAUUUCAUACCAAUCUCCUUCUUUUUCGUCAUGGGAUGCACCACAAAACUCUGUAUUUCUAGAGGUUGUGUUCUUUGCAAGAAGAUGUGAUUUCUCAAGUCCUCCUGGUGCCACUUUCCUAGCCAUAUGCUUCAGCAAAUGAUCAAGUAGGCCUAUGCCACCAAUAUGCUUAAAUUGAGACUUUUCUCUUUUUAUUGUUGUGAACCACAAGUUGUUGUUUCUUUGUGUUAUUUGUUACUACCUUAGAUUUCUGAAGCCCGUUGCUGCUACUCACAUUUUGGUGAUUUCUCUUAUAUUGAUGAGUUAUCCUCAUCACUCAAACAUUUGGUGUGACUAUUAAGCUUUCUCCUCUUUUAUUCCAAAAAUAUGUUUCUUUAGCUUCUCAAUAUUCAAGAACUGCAUUUGGUUCCUCUCACUUAUUCAACAAGAG
rnacentral:lncRNA from 1 species